GGCUUUUUUUUUUUUUUUUUUUUUUUUAUUACCAGAUAUUUUUUUUUGUGACUUUGUCUACUGGUUUGUUAAGUUUAUCAUUUUGGCAUCUUAAAUAUUUUGUAUUGACUAGUUCUAUAAUUUAGCUUUGUUGAGUGAAAUAGUAAUUUUUGGGUUAACCUUGAUGCUCAAUGGUUCUCUUGGAGGUCCCUUAGCUCUUCUAUUUGAAAGUUAGCAGAUAAACAUUUCCUUUUGCCUGUUUCAUGCCAGUCAUGACUUAAUAGGCCUUAGUUUUCUUAGUGAUUUCUUUCCCAAGCUGUAAGGUUCUGAUUAAUUUAAAUGCUUCUCACUCAAACGCAGUAUCAAAUUGCUGAUUUGUCCUCUUUGUACUUUUCCUAGUUCUGCAGCAUUCUUCCUGACAAUGUGGUGAAUAGGAUCGUAUGCAUUAUCGUAGAUGUUGCUGCAAGACUAAUUAAGACAAGCAACAAUGUAUUUUGAUUUUUCUCUUCUUAAUAAUGAUUAAUGUUCUAUAAGCAUGUUAGAUAAUAUUGUUUAGUGAAGGAAAUAUUGUUUAGAGAAGGAAACAAAGCAAGUCCAGGAUCUCUCUUCUCUGGUGAGCCUUCUGAUGAAAAUAGCCUACUAGAAAUCACUAUUUUACAUACUUAGAAGAAGGGUUUUUUUGUCAUUUAAGUUUCUCAGUACUGAAUACAACCUACUAGUUUUCCUUCUGGUUGCUGGGUAUAUUCAAGUUCUUCCACAGUUUGCAAUUUGAUUUAUGUUGGACCUUUCUAUAUUUUUAAUAGACUUUAUCCAUGUUCUGUGGAAUAUUUGUCAGGUCCUGUGAUUUGGCAACGCUGACCGAUGCUCUGUGAAAAUUUGCUGAUGAUGCUGUUGGUGUUGUAGAGACCAGCAUCACCUGCAAGAAUAUCCAGAUGACCCUUUUGAGAAUGCUAUUUUAAUGCCAGUCAAAUUGAAUUAACUGUUGCAAUGAGGACAAAACCCACACUGGUCUGUGCCAGAAAGAGUACAGCCUGAAGGUUGAGGGAAGGGAUCAUUCACUUGCAUUUUACACGUCUGGAGCAGUGUGCGUGGCUUAGGGUACCUUGAGCUUAAUGGAUGCUUGCAAAUUGGAGAAGACUGUGAGGACGCUGCGGCACAUAGGCAGGGGCUGGGAGGGUGCCUCUGUUCAGCCUGCAGGUGGGGAGAUGAGGUGGGGAGGUGGGGUUCCAUUUUCUGUUGUCUUCCUGCAGUGGAUGGCUGCCAGGGAAGAUGUCGUCAAAUAACCUUCCACUGACUCUUCUCAUGCAGAAAACACUGUGAGAC
ensembl:lncRNA